AUAACGUGCAAAGUGAAUCAAAGAUGGUGCCCCUCAAAGUCCAGGGAAGAGGGCUAAGAGCAAUGGAGGCAGAUCUGCUGGGGCUGUCGCAAGGCGAAGUGGCAGGGACGGAUGCUGAACAUUCUGCCAGCGGUCACACCAGUCAGCGGGAACUUGGCUUUUUACCCCUGCGGCCUGAGGCUGGCCCUGAGAGUGCAGCUCGGGCCUCGGGGAGAUCCAGCAAUCCCUCCUGGAAUCACUGAGAGUUUAAGCCUGUGCAGAGAGCAGCCGAGACCUCUGGCCAACAGCAGGAGACAAGCAGGCUCAAAGCGGCCGGCCCGGGAAGCGGCCGGCCCGGGAACCUGUUUUGCUCCUGCAGCUUAGGAAAUGAAUAUUCAGAGCACUAAUACGUGGAACCGAGCAGAAAAAUUAUUCUGGCACAGAUAUUGAGGGAGAAGAAAACGAGAUCCUGUCCCGCAGGGAACUGGAUAAACAAAGAGGAUCGGAUUCGGGCAAGAGGACCUCAAUUGGCUUCCACAGCCGAUUGCCACGAUCUGGACAAGGGGCUGUAUCCUUCUGCCUCAGCUUCCCUUCUGUGUAAGAAAGCAUUGGCUUAGAUGGUGUCAGGUUCAAUCCCAGUUCUAGCAUUCUGUGGGGGUGUCGGGGCUCUGGAUCUACGUAAGGGGUUGCAUAUUAAUGCGGCGGGCAACAUCAGGUAGUAGAGUAGUGAACUUGAGGGUAGUUCUCUGAAUAUCAAAAGCCUACUUCCUAGGAGAGCUUACUUUUCCCUCAGAGAAAACUGGGGACUAGGAAAGCCAAGGGGAUCCGGACGUACCUGCUGGAAGAGGAGGACAGCGCGCAGAGGUCAGUGCCCUAGAAAAGGGAAGAGUGGUGA
rnacentral:lncRNA from 1 species